rnacentral:rRNA from 1 species
UACGUAGGGUGCAAGCGUUGUCCGGAAUUAUUGGGCGUAAAAGAGCUCGUAGGCGGUUUGUCGCGUCUGCUGUGAAAACCCGAGGCUCAACCUCGGGCCUGCAGUGGGUACGGGCAGACUAGAGUGCGGUAGGGGAGAUUGGAAUUCCUGGUGUAGCGGUGGAAUGCGCAGAUAUCAGGAGGAACACCGAUGGCGAAGGCAGAUCUCUGGGCCGUAACUGACGCUGAGGAGCGAAAGCAUGGGGAGCGAACAGG